rnacentral:rRNA from 1 species
UACAGAGGUCCCGAGCGUUGUUCGGAUUCAUUGGGCGUAAAGGGUGCGUAGGCGGCGGGGCCAGUCUGAUGUGAAAUCCCGGGGCUCAACCCCGGAACUGCAUUGGAUACUGCCUUGCUUGAGUACUGGAGAGGGAACUGGAAUUUACGGUGUAGCAGUGAAAUGCGUAGAGAUCGUAAGGAAGGCCAGUGGCGAAGGCGAGUUCCUGGACAGUGACUGACGCUGAGGCACGAAGGCCAGGGGAGCAAACGGG